rnacentral:rRNA from 1 species
UACGUAGGGUGCAAGCGUUGUCCGGAAUUAUUGGGCGUAAAGAGCUCGUAGGCGGUCUGUCGCGUCUGCUGUGAAAUCUCAGGGCUUAACCCUGAGCUUGCAGUGGGUACGGGCAGACUAGAGUGCGGUAGGGGAGACUGGAAUUCCUGGUGUAGCGGUGAAAUGCGCAGAUAUCAGGAGGAACACCCGUGGCGAAGGCGGAUCUCUGGACGGCUAACUGACGCUGAGGCGCGAAGGCCAGGGGAGCAAACGGG